rnacentral:rRNA from 1 species
AAACUUUCAACAACGGAUCUCUUGGUUCUGGCAUCGAUGAGGAACGCAGCGAAAUGCGAUAAGUAAUGUGAAUUGCAGAAUUCAGUGAAUCAUCGAAUCUUUGAACGCACAUUGCGCCUAUUAGUAUUCUAGUAGGCAUGCCUGUUCGAGCGUCAUUU